CGAAAGACGGGUGAGAAUCCCGUCCACCGAUUGACUAAGGUUUCCAGAGGAAGGCUCGUCCGCUCUGGGUUAGUCGGGUCCUAAGCUGAGGCCGACAGGCGUAGGCGAUGGAUAACAGGUUGAUAUUCCUGUACCACCUAUAAUCGUUUUAAUCGAUGGGGGGACGCAGUAGGAUAGGCGAAGCGUGCGAUUGGAUUGCACGUCUAAGCAGUAAGGCUGAGUAUUAGGCAAAUCCGGUACUCGUUAAGGCUGAGCUGUGAUGGGGAGAAGACAUUGAGUCUUCGAGUCGUUGAUUUCACACUGCCGAGAAAAGCCUCUAGAUAGAAAAUAGGUGCCCGUACCGCAAACCGACACAGGUAGUCAAGAUGAGUAUUCUAAGGUGAGCGAGCGAACUCUCGUUAAGGAACUCGGCAAAAUGACCCCGUAACUUCGGGAGAAGGGGUGCUCUUUAGGGUUAACGCCCAGAAGAGCCGCAGUGAAUAGGCCCAAGCGACUGUUUAUCAAAAACACAGGUCUCUGCUAAACCGUAAGGUGAUGUAUAGGGGCUGACGCCUGCCCGGUGCUGGAAGGUUAAGAGGAGUGGUUAGCUUCUGCGAAGCUACGAAUCGAAGCCCCAGUAAACGGCGGCCGUAACUAUAACGGUCCUAAGGUAGCGAAAUUCCUUGUCGGGUAAGUUCCGACCCGCACGAAAGGCGUAACGAUUUGGGCACUGUCUCAACGAGAGACUCGGUGAAAUCAUAGUACCUGUGAAGAUGCAGGUUACCCGCGACAGGACGGAAAGACCCCGUGGAGCUUUACUGUAGCCUGAUAUUGAAAUUCGGCACAGCUUGUACAGGAUAGGUAGGAGCCUUUGAAACGUGAGCGCUAGCUUACGUGGAGGCGCUGGUGGGAUACUACCCUAGCUGUGUUGGCUUUCUAACCCGCACCACUUAUCGUGGUGGGAGACAGUGUCAAGCGGGCAGUUUGACUGGGGCGGUCGCCUCCUAAAAGGUAACGGAGGCGCUCAAAGGUUCCCUCAGAAUGGUUGGAAAUCAUUCAUAGAGUGUAAAGGCAUAAGGGAGCUUGACUGCGAGACCUACAAGUCGAGCAGGGUCGAAAGACGGACUUAGUGAUCCGGUGGUUCCGCAUGGAAGGGCCAUCGCUCAACGGAUAAAAGCUACCCCGGGGAUAACAGGCUUAUCUCCCCCAAGAGUUCACAUCGACGGGGAGGUUUGGCACCUCGAUGUCGGCUCAUCGCAUCCUGGGGCUGUAGUCGGUCCCAAGGGUUGGGCUGUUCGCCCAUUAAAGCGGUACGCGAGCUGGGUUCAGAACGUCGUGAGACAGUUCGGUCCCUAUCCGUCGUGGGCGUAGGAAAUUUGAGAGGAGCUGUCCUUAGUACGAGAGGACCGGGAUGGACAUACCUCUGGUGUACCAGUUGUCGUGCCAACGGCAUAGCUGGGUAGCUAUGUGUGGACGGGAUAAGUGCUGAAAGCAUCUAAGCAUGAAGCCCCCCUCAAGAUGAGAUUUCCCAACUUCGGUUAUAAGAUCCCUCAAAGAUGAUGAGGUUAAUAGGUUCGAGGUGGAAGCAUGGUGACAUGUGGAGCUGACGAAUACUAAUCGAUCGAAGACUUAAUCA
rnacentral:rRNA from 1 species